rnacentral:rRNA from 1 species
UACGAAGGGGGCGAGCGUUGUUCGGAUUUACUGGGCGUAAAGGGCGCGUAGGCGGCGGGUCAAGUCGAGUGUGAAAGCCCCGGGCUCAACCUGGGAAUUGCGCUCGAGACUGGGCUGCUUGAGUUCGGGAGAGGAGCGUGGAAUUCCCAGUGUAGAGGUGAAAUUCGUAGAUAUUGGGAAGAACACCAGUGGCGAAGGCGGCUCACUGGCCCGGAACUGACGCUGAGACGCGAAAGCGUGGGGAGCAAACAGGAUUAAGAAACCCC